rnacentral:rRNA from 1 species
UUUUGUAGAACGGGCCAACGAGUUACGUUAAGUAGCAAGGUUAAGCACUUAAGGUGCGGAGCCGUAGCGAAAGCGAGUUUUAACUGAGCGUUCAGUUACUUGACGUAGACCCGAAACCGGGCGACCUACCCAUGAGCAGGAUGAAGCGAAAGUAAAAUUUCGUGGAGGUCCGAACCCACGAGCGUUGAAAAGCUCGGGGAUGACUUGUGGGUAGCGGUGAAAUUCCAAUCGAGCCCGGAGAUAGCUGGUUCUCCCCGAAAUAGCUUUAGGGCUAGCCUCAAGGUGAGAGAUACGGAGGUAGAGCACUGAAUGUCCUAGGGGGUAUUGCACCUACCGAAGACUAUCAAACUCCGAAUGCCGUCAUCUUAUACUUGGGAGUCAGACUGUGGGUGAUAAGAUUCAUAGUCGAAAGGGCAACAGCCCAGAUCGUCAGCUAAGGUCCCUAAAUGUAAGUUAAGUGGUAAAGGAUGUGGGAUUGCACAGACAACCAGGAUGUUGGCUUAGAAGCAGCCACUCAUUCAAAGAGUGCGUAAUAGCUCACUGGUCGAGUGAUCCUGCGCCGAAGAUUUCCGGGGCUAAAACUUACUACCGAAGCUACGGCAUCAGUAAUGAUGGGUAGGGGAGCUUCCCAUACGGGUUGAAGCAUGACCGUAAGGACAUGUGGACAGUAUGGGAGUGAGAAUGUUGGCAUGAGUAGCGAGAUGUGGGUGAGAAUCCCACAGGCCGUAAACCCAAGGUUUCCAGGGGAAGGUUCGUCCGCCCUGGGUUAGUCGGGACCUAAGCUGAGGCCGAAAGGCGUAGGUGAUGGACAACAGGUUGAUAUUCCUGUACUACCGAUAACCGUUUGAGAGAAGGGAUGACACAGUAGGAUAAGCUAAGCACACUGUUGGUUAUGUGUGCCCAAGCAUUGAGGCAGUCAAAGUAGGCAAAUCCGCUUUGAUAAUGCUGGGAUGUGAUGGGGAGCGAAAUUUAGUAGCGAAGUAGCUGAUUUCACACUGUCAAGAAAAGUCUCUAUCGAGGUUAAAGGUACCCGUACCGCAAACCGACACAGGUGGGUGAGGAGAGUAUCCUAAGGCCAGCGAGAGAACUGUUGUUAAGGAACUCGGCAAAAUGACCCCGUAACUUAGGGAUAAGGGGUGCCACCAUCAGGUGGCCGCAGAGAAUAGGCCCAAGCGACUGUUUACCAAAAACAUAGGUUUCUGCUAAGUCGCAAGACGAUGUAUAGGAGCUGACGCCUGCCCGGUGCUGGAAGGUUAAGGGGAUCUGUUAGAGCAAUCGAAGCAGUGAACUUAAGCCCCAGUAAACGGCGGCCGUAACUAUAACGGUCCUAAGGUAGCGAAAUUCCUUGUCGGGUAAGUUCCGACCCGCACGAAAGGCGUAACGAUUUGGGCACUGUCUCAACAACAGACUCGGUGAAAUUGUAAUUCCGGUGAAGAUGCCGGAUACCUGCGACAGGACGGAAAGACCCCAUGGAGCUUUACUGUAGCUUGACAUUGGGUCUUGGUACUACAUGUACAGGAUAGGUGGGAGGCUUUGAAACCAGGACGCCAGUUUUGGCGGAGCCAUCCUUGGGAUACCACCCUUGUAGUACUGGGACUCUAACCAUAGGCCAUGAAUCUGGUCUUGGGACACUGUCAGGUGGGCAGUUUGACUGGGGCGGUCGCCUCCCAAAAGGUAACGGAGGCGCUCAAAGGUUCUCUCAGUACGGUCGGAAAUCGUACGUAGAGUGUAAAGGCAAAAGAGAGCUUGAUUGCAAGACAUACAGGUCGAGCAAGGAUGAAAAUCGGACUUAGUGAUCCGGUGGUUCUGCGUGGAAGGGCCAUCGCUCAACGGAUAAAAGCUACCCUGGGGAUAACAGGCUUAUCUCCCCCAAGAGUCCACAUCGACGGGGAGGUUUGGCACCUCGAUGUCGGCUCAUCACAUCCUGGGGCUGUAGUAGGUCCCAAGGGUUGGGCUGUUCGCCCAUUAAAGUGGUACGCGAGCUGGGUUCAGAACGUCGUGAGACAGUUCGGUCCCUAUCCGUCGCAGGCGUAGGAAAUUUGAGAAGACCUGUCCUUAGUACGAGAGGACCGGGAUGGACG